GACAAAUACUAUCUACUUGGAGAAAAUGGAAUCAGUAGAAUUAGGCUCACGUGCUUAACUAUUGUUGCUUCCAAAACUACACAUAUAUGACCAGCAUUAAGCCCUUCAUGUCUUUUGUUGGCCUAGGUGGGUAUUUUUUUUUCUUUUUCAGUUGCUUUGUUCUCCACCAUCCACAAGUUGAGCACCAAAGAACAUCGAUAUUCGUUCCCAGUAAAAAAAUAUAAAAUCAAUUUAUAAAAAUGUUAGAAGCUGCGUAUACGAAAUUAUACAGUUUUUUUACUAAUUUAAAAUUCUGUAGAGCGAUACAAAUUUAGGUGGAAGUGCAAAAAGGCAAACAGCCUUAUUAAACAUAAAAUAACAUCAUAUUAAUAAAUUUAUUAAUUUAAUUCCAUAAGCAUAUGCAAUCAUACGAAAAUAUUGAAAAUAAUUAACUUGGUUUCCCGUGGAAUGAACUUAUGGGUAGGCCUGUGCAUAUUUCGGUUUAAACCGAAAAACCGAACCGAACCGAUUAAUUUCGGUUUUUCGGUUCGGUUAAUCGAGAUGAUCGGUUUGGUUCGGUUAAUAUAUUUAAAAUUAUUCGGUUUUCGGUUCGGU
rnacentral:lncRNA from 1 species